rnacentral:rRNA from 1 species
UACAGAGGCCCCAAGCGUUACUGAGAAUCACUGGGCUUAAAGGGUGCGUAGGUGGCGCGUUAAGUCCGUUGUGAAAGCCCUGGGCUCAACCCAGGAACUGCUUCGGAUACUGGCGCGCUUGAGGCUAGUAGGGGUCACUGGAACUGACGGUGGAGCGGUGAAAUGCGUAGAUAUCGUCAGGAACGCCAAUGGUGAAGACAGGUGACUGGGCUAGUUCUGACACUGAGGCACGAAAGCGUGGGGAGCGAACGGG